rnacentral:rRNA from 1 species
GAUGAACGCUGGCGGCGUGUCUAAUACGUGCAAGUCGAGCGAAGCGGGGACGGGUGAGUAACACGUAGAGAACCUCCUAUAAGACUGUUAUACCUUCUGGAACCCGGCGCUAAACCGGAUACUUAUUGUUUGAUCCGCGCUGCAUUAGCUAGUUGGUAAGGUAACGGCUUACCAAGGCAACGAUGCAUAGCCGAUCUGAGAGGGUGAUGGGACAGACAGGAACUGAGACACUGUCGAGACUCCUAAGGAAGGCAGCAGUAGGGAAACAGCCGCAAUGGGCGAAAGCCUGAGGGAGCAACGCGGCGUGAGUGCUGAAGGGCUGAGGAGCGUAAGAGUCUGUUAUUAGGGAAGCGGUCCCUAAUCAGAAAGCAACGGCUCACUACGCGCCAGCAGCCGCGGUAAUAC